GAAAUGCGAUAAGUAAUGUGAAUUGCAGAAUUCCGUGAAUCAUCGAAUCUCUGAACGCACAUUGCGCCCUCUGGUAUUCCGGGGGGCAUGCCUGUCCGAGCGUCAUUGCGAACCCCUCAAGCACGGCUUGUGUGAUGGGCCCUCCCGCGUCUUGGUCGUCAAGACGGGCCCGAAAUGCAGUGGCGGCUUCGCGGUUAUCCGAUCAGCCAGAGCGUAUGGGGACUCUCUCUCUGUCACACGCCCGCGGCGCGGACCGACGCCUGUCGACCUUUCUUCAUCUUUUCUCGGUUGACCUCGGAUCUGGUAGGGAUACCCGCUGAACUUAAGC
rnacentral:misc_RNA from 1 species